rnacentral:rRNA from 1 species
GACGAACGCUGGCGGCGUGCUUAACACAUGCAAGUCGAACGGAAAGGCCUGCUUUCCCUUGUGGAUUGCGGGUACUCGAGUGGCGAACGGGUGAGUAACACGUGAGUGAUCUGCCCCCAACUUGGGUAUAAGCCUGGGAAACUGGGUCUAAUUCCCGAUAGGACUGCAGGGUGGUGCCUGUGGUGGAAAACGAUUUUCUAGUGGUUGGGGAUGAGCUCGCGGCCUAUCAGCUUGUUGGUGGGGUAAUGGCCUACGAAGGCGGCGACGGGUAGCCGGCCUGAGAGGGUGGACGGCCACAUUGGGACUGAGAUACGGCCCAGACUCCUACGGGAGGCAGCAGUGGGGAAUAUUGCACAAUGGGCGGAAGCCUGAUGCAGCGACGCCGCGUGGGGGAUGACGGCCUUCGGGUUGUAAACUCCUUUCGACCGCGAGGAAGCCACCUGGUUGGAAGGGUGGUGACGGUAGUGGUAGAAGAAGCACCGGCUAACUACGUG